CCAAACCGAGGGGCCCGCCUCAAGCGCAAAAACACCUUGGGCUUCAGAGACCCUGCCGCUCCGGAGUGCCGCUGGGGCAGCGCUCCGCGCUCUGCUCCCUCCAGGGACGGAACACCCGCGGGUCGGCUCCCCGCGGCGGAAGAGCCCGGCCCGGGGCGGCCAGGUUCCGGUGAGAUGCCAUCGGCUGCUGCAUCGAAGUGUUAAAAAGUACGAGAGGCUGCAGUUGGUAGGGCUGGGAGUCCAAAACAGAGCUUUUGGAUGGCUUCUGCCCUGAGACGAACAGCUGGAGUCCCCAGAUCAUCCCAGGGAACUGAGAGCUCAAUUUCCCUCCAGCCUGGAGGUGAAGCUUUGGUGCUGGAGCAGAAGCUCUACAAGCAAGCAGUGAGAAAUCUAACUGUUUUCCUGAGAAAUCCUACAUUUAUGAAGUCUGGUGAGAGAGUUUGAUGGCAAAGCUGCUCACCACAAGCUGUCACUUGGGGAUGACAAAAUGGCACAGCCCUGUUUGUCAGGAGCUGAACUGUGGGUGAGCUGCUGGGCCCUGGGUGCAGGAGUGUGUCAGUGUGAGGAGGGAGAGGGGACCGACACUGAUCUCCAGACCAGGCACUGAUAAUGUGCAGGAAAAGAGAUCAUACAAAAUCCUUUGAAGAAUCAAACAUCUUCCCACCUUUCUGCCUGUUUAUAUGUCUGUCUUUCAUAUGAUAAUUUUAUUCUUUAUACACUAAUUCACAUAUGAAUAAUUUGGCUGUGUAAAACAUACCUUAAAUGUCAAUAAACAUAAAAUCUUGCUGAAUUGUCAAAAGCUGAUUCCUAGAACAUUAUUAUUUUUAAGAAGCUUUCUAUAUGCCCACCUUAAAAAAAUACUCUGUGCUUGUUUAAACCUG